CAUUACGAGUGGAAAUUGUGUUUUUUGAUUGUAUUUUUAUUUUACUGGAUUAAAGACUCUGUUUUCGCCAAGUCGCUUUUGGGUCCUCAUUCACCUGCAUAACACAAAAGUACUCAUACAUUUCAAAUGCUCAGGCAGGACAGCAAUAUGGUCCAAUUGACGCACAUACAUUUAUCAAUAUAACGCAUUGUCAUCUCUACUGCCUCUGAUAUGGCGGACUCACGAAACACAUAUACCGGGUUUGUGUAAAUGAUGUCUUGAGUGUUGGAGUGUGAGAGUGUGCCGUCUAGUUUGCAUAAUAGAAGGAAUUUGAUGUAUAGCAUUCACUUGACAUUUGAGUACUUUCCCCCCAACUGUACUUAAGUACAUUUCAAACCUGAUACUUUUAGACUUUUACUCAAGUAUUAUUUUACUAGGUGACUUUCACGUUUACUUGAGAAAUUUCUAUACUUUUACUCAAGUAUGACAUUGAGGACUUUUUCCACCAUUGCAAAUUUUGUGGCCCUGUAUGUUGACAUGUUCGUACAACUGUUUAUUCAAAUGCUACUGAUGAAUGCAUGGCUGUAAUAUUUUUCACCCAAACACCUUCAGACUCAGAGUCCAACAGCAUGUCUGUGCUCCAGCAGCCUGUGUCUGAGUCAGUCCAACCAGGAGACUCUGUGACUCUGAACUGUACAAUACACACUGAGACCUGUGCAGGAGGACACAGUGUCUAUUGGUUCAGACAUGGCUCAGGAGAAUCCCUUCCAGGAAUCAUUUACACCCAUGGAAACAGGAGUGAUCAGUGUGUGAAGAGCACUGAGGCUGGGUCUCCUACACAGAGAUGUGUCUACAACCUCCCCAAGAGAAACCUCAGCCCCUCUGAUGCUGGGACUUACUACUGUGCUGUGGCUUCAUGUGUGGAGAUACUUUUUGGAGACGGGACCAAGCUGGACCUUCAAGUUCCUGAGCAUCAUCCUCCAUUUCAUCUGACUCCUACUGUUCUGUCAUUGGUCGUCUCCAACAUCGUUCUGGGGAUAGUGACCCUUCUUCUUGUCUGGGCGCUGUGCAAGAGGGAGGACUGAUGUCCCAACGUCCCAGGGCAAUCAGAAUCAAGACAGUGACGUGUUGAACUAUGCAGCUGUCAGUUUCACCCCCAAGAAGAAGUCCUCCUCUAGAACAGCGAGAGAGAAGACCAGCAGAGAGGAUGCAGUGUACUCUGAUGUCAGGAAUCUGCAGCAGCAGUGAAAGAUAUCACCACUGUCACAAAGACUCCAAGAAGAACCAUUUUACUAUUUGUAGCAUAAUUGAACUGCUUUUAAUAACAAAAAUGAGUUACAAUGUAACAAAGAAAAUGUAAUUUUAACAUUGUCUAGAUUUAUGUAAUCCUGUAAUGCCUUAAAUAGACAUAUCUUUUGACAGUUUGUAAGAAAUAAUCUGAUGGAGAAUCCCAUUUUUGCUCUAUGACUGUGUGUUUUUAACAUAA